AGAGAGGAGAGGAUAGGUGAGUGACUGGUGGAGAGCGGGAGAGGGGAGGGGCCGAGGGGGGCGGCGUAGCGGCGCGCGCAGCUGCUCGGGCGUUGGCGCGCUGAGGCGGGCGGCUGGUGGCUUAGCCAGAGUACUUAACCGCCCCGAACCCUGAUGCUGGUCGACACACGCCGCGCUAGCUGCCUCCGUCUGCGUAGCUCGAAGGACUGGGCCCGCACGCACGAGCUAGGCCAGAGUAAGGCCAGCCUAGGCGCCACCACGAGGAGAGGCCGCUCCAGCGUCCAGCUAGGCUGCGCCCCGCCGAGCUAGACGUUCGCCUCGUCGAGGCCGUGCCGGUCCCGCUGCUGACGAGGGGCUGCGGCGGUGGGAGGCGUUCCUCGCUGCUGCCGAGCUUCGAGACGCCGUGCCGCACGCGGCUCGCUGCGCGGCGCCCCCGCGGGGACGGAGUCGGUGGCCGCACAGACUGGUGGGCAGGUGCGGGGGUGGCGACGGCGGCCGGCCGGUGUGCUACAGCGAGCAGGGCGACGAAGUCGGCCGGUUCUUUGGCCUUGCGGGGGGAACGGACCGUUGGAGCCGUAGAGGUAGCUGGCAGAGUCUUUCGCGAUGGAGCGAGCCGAGGGCGUAUCGACUACGUUCGGUUCUUUGUCCCUCACGGCCGUCAUCAUGAGACUUAGGUAGUUACGUUGACUUAGGUAUUACGAUUAGUUCUCCACCAAAACCGGAUUGACCCUACACGAACUCAGGACGUAUCGACACCUCCUCCUUCAACGACGGGAAGAACUCGUCAAACGUUUCUAGAAGUCACUCGUUUCUCCCGUCACCUUCCGUCGUUGGGUUAGGGUCCUCAAGGAAACUUGGGAAGUCGCAAUUAUGUUAUUACGAAUGUGUCUAGGACUCUUCGGCCUACGAUAUUUACAUAAGAACCCGGUAAAGGUCAGAGUUGUUCCGUUUGGAGGAGAACACCUUCAACCUGACUCUAGUCGUAAUGUUACAACCGGCGGUUCCUUGAGAUACACUUCUUUGACCUUCCACUUGUAUAUGGACCUCCAUAGCCGCUACCACAGCAGACAAGACAACCGAACGACACACCUCAGGGGUAUCCAUUGAUGAUUUUUUUUCUGUACAGAUUGUCUGAGUCCAUAGGGCGUUUUUGAACAUUUGACUGAGACGUUCGUCUAUUGCACUUUAUGGUUGUCAUGAUUUGCGGGCAAGGGUACGAUGUCUUUGAGUCAGGUAUUCCCGUCGAAACGAUAUGUAUACUUUUAUCUUUCUGUACAGGUUGUCUGAAACGAUGAAACGUAAAAAAACUUUUGACUUAAACGACCAAUAUUUGUACUAGCCCCAACGAACCAGACUCAUAACCUCGGACAAUUGUCCUUUUUACUGAUGGUGCUGACGUAUAAGGUCGAGACUGGAAGGCAUAAUACAAUUAGUUUAGAUAACGAUAAAAGCAAGAGUUCGUGUAUUGACAUAAUGUGUUCUAGAUAAAAAUAAACGUGAAGUAAACUCAACUCUUAGGCAAAGACAACAUUGUUUUAUCGUUAUCUAUACAGCGUAAGGUGAAUAAAACCUUGCAGCCCAUUAAAGUACACAUGGUAUCCACGUUUUACUUAAGACCGUACCGAACUAAAUCAAAGACAAACGAAAGUAGGAAAAUAAGCAAACCAAAUAAGGUCCAGGUAUAUUAAUACUACAGAACCUCCCAUACUGCAAGCUGUUAUAAAUACUUAGGAAGUUACGACUGAAACUCCUACCAUGUUAGCCCGUCCAUUAAUAAAAAGGAAAACAGUACACUUCGGGUUGUGAUACGAGAAUUGGUCCAUACCUAGAAACUCUCAUAGGAAGUACCACUUAUACCUCUUCCUUACUUAUAGUUUCAUGAACAAGAUCGACUUUCCCAUCUGGACGAGAUUGGUUUCCUGGAAAUCUACGAACUGAUGUUGGUAACGUGAAUGACAACACCUGGCCAAUAUAUCUAAUUGGUUAAUACGGACAGUACAUAUCUAAUUGGCUUUCAACAUAUACAAGGCGGGUUCAAUAGUACAUAAUGUAAACACCUGUCAACAUAUACAAGACUAGACAUGUGCAUAUGUAUUGUUUGUUUCGUACACACAAGUAUGGACCCCAACUUAGGCAUGUCGCAACGGCUGCCCUUGAGGAUACAGCGACAGCACCAAGGCGCCGCCACCGCGACAGGUCACCAAGACACCGCCGCCGCGACAGCUCACCAAGGCGGCGCCGCCGCGACACCUCACGCGUCUAGCAUGCUGCCGACGCGUCUAGCGUACUGCCGCCGCUAGGUCUACCUGAGUCCGCCGCUCUAGGCCGCCCCAUACUCCAAGCUGCCGUCCGGCUAGGACUAGACGCCGUCCUGCGACAAAAGAAACAGAUGCACGCACCCGCCCCAAGCCACCCAACCACACCCCCACUACUUUUUUUUUGGCCAACUUUUUUUUGGUCUGCUUUCACCCCCUUGAUAAGUUGUUGAGCAGGUAAUCCUCAUCUCUAAUCCUCAUCUCUAAAAUACACUCUGUGCG
rnacentral:rRNA from 1 species